CCCUCAACCUGAGUCUCUCCCUGCCAGACGAGCUCUUCCAGAAAGUGGCGGAGGAUUACGUCAGCGUGGCCGGCUUCCAGGUGAUGACAGAGGACAAGGGCGUGGAUCUGGCGCAGAAGGCGAACCCCUACUUCUACAGCUGCUGCCACCACUGAGUCAGCCACCCGGUGCGCGGCCUGGGGAGUGAGGGCGCGCGCCCUGCGGGGCCACCCCGGGUCUCCCCGGCGGCGCUGGCCCGGGGCGGGCGGCCCGGGCUGCCCGGGGCCCAGCUCUGCGUCCACAGACUAUUUAAGUGGCUUCUGAUCUGUAAAUAAAAUCAGUGCACUGUGA